rnacentral:lncRNA from 1 species
UGGUGUUGAGUUAAACAAACAAACGGGAGUCAGAUAAUAAGAAACGAAAACAAAGACUUUUCGGACCGAAGGGAAUAUCAGGAUAAAGAGUUUGUAACUCACUUGCUUGCUAAAGGUAGCGCUAGCUAAAGUAAACUUGAGCUACAGACUUAGGAGAGAAAGGCAGCUAGUCGCUUAGCGGAGCAAGUUCUAUGGACAAGCUUGAGUUAAGCAUCGAUUGAAGAGCAAAGAAGAAGGCCAGACUGUUGCCCG